rnacentral:rRNA from 1 species
AACGAACGCUGGCGGCAGGCCUAACACAUGCAAGUCGAACGCUCGUAGCAAUACGAGAGUGGCAGACGGGUGAGUAACGCGUGGGAACCUUCCCAGUGGUACGGAAUAGCUCAGGGAAACUUGAGGUAAUACCGUAUACGCCCUUCGGGGGAAAGAUUUAUCGCCAUUGGAUGGGCCCGCGUCGGAUUAGCUAGUUGGUGGGGUAAUGGCUCACCAAGGCGACGAUCCGUAGCUGGUCUGAGAGGAUGAUCAGCCACACUGGGACUGAGACACGGCCCAGACUCCUACGGGAGGCAGCAGUGGGGAAUAUUGGACAAUGGGCGCAAGCCUGAUCCAGCCAUGCCGCGUGAGUGUCGAAGGCCCUAGGGUUGUAAAGCUCUUUUGGCGGGGAAGAUAAUGACGGUACCCGCAGAAUAAGCUCCGGCUAACUUCGUGCCAGCAGCCGCGGUAAAAC